ACCACCAGGAAAGGACUUUCUCCAGGUUCCAGGAUUAAAAAAAGCCAGGGCAGGGAAAGGCUGAGGGCCUUAGACAAAGCAAUAACCAGUCAAUAUUUAACUUGAACCACUUGCUGGCCAUGAAAACAACCGUUUCCAGUUGGCUGCUGUGGGAGUUUAAAAACAAAAGCAACUGAACUUACCACCAGCUCUGGCCACUGCAGCCAUCCUGCUGUGGGACUGCUCUCCAUGCCCGUGGCUGCUCAGCCCCAGCAGCAGAGCAGGACCCUGGGAUGUGGUUCAGCUGCUCUCAAAAGGCUCCGUCCUCAAGAGUAAAAGUCUUUCUGAGCUCAGCCUGUUGCAGCCCAGGCCCCAGACACCUUGAACCAACCCCCUAGGAACCAGCACUGCCCGUGGAAUUGCUCUCCUGGUAAACUUGACUUGAGGUGAAGGAGAAGGGGAAGUUUGCUGGAGCAAAGAAAACAGAGAAGGUGAAAACCUCACACAUGCUUCUGAACCUGGAGCAGGAGCUCUGGGCCACUGGGGCUGGCACUGAAAGGACUUGGCUUCUGCCUUCUACCCACAGCACAACCCAGCAAGUCGUUCUUUACAGGACCACAACUGGGAAGUACACCUCCCUGUACUGGUUUACUUCUCAAGUCAAGAACAAAAAGCCUCCAGGAACCAUUUCAGACCAUGUUCUCACCUGCACCAAGUCCCUUUGGACCGAGCUAGUUCUUCCAAGAUGACCUUAACUAGCAGAAUUGAAUUAGAGAAAGAAACCUCCUUGAAUAAGAAUCAAGCCCAGCAUAUUUUAAAAUAUAUAAGAAUGUGAUAAAGUCAUGAUUAUUAAAAAAAUAAUUACUAAUUUUAUCAUUUAUUCAAGUCAUGAAAGCCAUCAAGGGGAAUAGGAGUUAAGUCUUGUUCCUUCUCUCCCCCACCCCUGCAAGUGACAAAUGGAUGUCAAAAUAUAUCUGUAUAAGAAUAAAAUGUAUAAAUCCAUA